GAAACGACUGCUAAGACUGGAUAGGAGAUAAGAAGGCAUCUUUUUAUUUUUAAAAGACCUAGCAAUAGGUAUGCUUAGGGAAGAGCUUGCGUCACAUUAGUUAGUUGGUGGGGUAAUGGCCUACCAAGACGAUGAUGUGUAGCCGGGCUGAGAGGUCGAACGGCCACAUUGGGACUGAGACACGGCCCAAACUCCUACGGGAGGCAGCAGUAAGGAAUUUUCGGCAAUGGAGGAAACUCUGACCGAGCAAUGCCGCGUGAACGAUGAAGUAUUUCGGUACGUAAAGUUCUUUUAUUAGGGAAGAAAAGAUGGUGGAAAAACCAUUAUGACGGUACCUAAUGAAUAAGCCCCGGCUAACUAUGUGCCAGCAGCCGCGGUAAUACAUAGGGGGCAAGCGUUAUCCGGAAUUAUUGGGCGUAAAGGGUGCGUAGGCGGUUAAAUAAGUUUAUGGUCUAAGUGCAACGCUCAACGUUGUGAUGCUAUAAAAACUGUUUAGCUAGAGUUGGAUAGAGGCAAGUGGAAUUCCGUGUGUAGUGGUAAAAUGCGUAAAUAUACGGAGGAACACCAGAAGCGAAGGCGGCUUGCUGGGUCUUAACUGACGCUGAGGCACGAAAGCGUGGGGAGCAAACAGGAUUAGAUACCCUGGUAGUCCACGCCCUAAACGAUGAGUACUAAACGUUGGAUAAAACCAGUGUUGAAGUUAACACAUUAAGUACUCCGCCUGAGUAGUACGUACGCAAGUAUGAAACUUAAAGGAAUUGACGGGACUCCGCACAAGCGGUGGAUCAUGUUGUUUAAUUCGAAGGUACCCGAAAAACCUCACCAGGUCUUGACAUGCUUUUGCAAAGCUGUAGAAAUACAGUGGAGGUUAUCAGAAGCACAGGUGGUGCAUGGUUGUCGUCAGCUCGUGUCGUGAGAUGUUGGGUUAAGUCCCGCAACGAGCGCAACCCUUGUUGUUAAUUGCCAUCAUUAAGUUGGGGACUUUAGCAAGACUGCCAAUGAUAAAUUGGAGGAAGGUGGGGACGACGUCAAAUCAUCAUGCCCCUUAUGACCUGGGCUACAAACGUGAUACAAUGGCUGUUACAAAGGGUAGCUAAAGCGUAAGCUUCUGGCGAAUCUCAAAAAGGCAGUCUCAGUUCGGAUUGAAGUCUGCAACUCGACUUCAUGAAGUUGGAAUCGCUAGUAAUCGCGAAUCAGCAUGUCGCGGUGAAUACGUUCACGGGGUUUGUACACACCGCCCGUCA
rnacentral:rRNA from 1 species